UACGUAGGGUGCGAGCGUUGUUCGGAAUUACUGGGCGUAAAGGGCGCGUAGGCGGCCUUCUAAGUCAGACGUGAAAUCCCCAGGCUUAACUUGGGAACUGCGUCUGAUACUGGGAGGCUUGAGUGCGGGAGAGGGAUGUGGAAUUCCAGGUGUAGCGGUGAAAUGCGUAGAUAUCUGGAGGAACACCGGUGGCGAAGGCGGCAUCCUGGACCGACACUGACGCUGAGGCGCGAAAGCUAGGGGAGCAAACGGG
rnacentral:rRNA from 1 species